CCAAACCUGGUUGAUCCUGCCAGUAGUCACACGCUCGUCUCAAAGAUUAAGCCAUGCAUGUGCAAGUUUACAUACUAAACUUUGAAACUGCGAAUGGCUCAUUAUAUCAGUUAUAGUUUAUUUGGUAGUCUCUUACUACUUGGAUACCCGUAGUAAUUCUAGAGCUAAUACAUGCGUCAACACCCGACUUUUGGA
rnacentral:rRNA from 1 species